GCUAGCGGCGGACGGGUGAGUAACACGUGGGCAACCUGCCUCAUAGAGGGGAAUAGCCUUCCGAAAGGGAGAUUAAUACCGCAUAAGAUUGUAGCUUCGCAUGAAGUAGCAAUUAAAGGAGCAAUCCGCUAUGAGAUGGGCCCGCGGCGCAUUAGCUAGUUGGUGAGGUAACGGCUCACCAAGGCGACGAUGCGUAGCCGACCUGAGAGGGUGAUCGGCCACAUUGGGACUGAGACACGGCCCAGACUCCUACGGGAGGCAGCAGGUGGGGAAUAUUGCACAAGUGGGGGAAACCCUGAUGCAGCAAUGCCGCGUGAGUGAUGACGGCCUUCGGGUUGUAAAGCUCUGUCUUCAGGGACGAUAAUGACGGUACCUGAGGAGGAAGCCACGGCUAACUACGUG
rnacentral:rRNA from 1 species